CUUCAUACACAACAACAAUUAAC
rnacentral:sRNA from 1 species